AUCUUCAGCAUGCUUAGUACGGCGAGUGAGCGGCAAAAGCUCAAAUUUGAAAUCUGGCACCUUCGGUGUCCGAGUUGUAAUUUGAAGAAGGUAACUUUGGAGUUGGCUCUUGUCUAUGUUCCUUGGAACAGGACGUCACAGAGGGUGAGAAUCCCGUGCGAUGAGAUGCCCAAUUCUAUGUAAAGUGCUUUCGAAGAGUCGAGUUGUUUGGGAAUGCAGCUCUAAGUGGGUGGUAAAUUCCAUCUAAAGCUAAAUAUUGGCGAGAGACCGAUAGCGAACAAGUACAGUGAUGGAAAGAUGAAAAGAACUUUGAAAAGAGAGUGAAAAAGUACGUGAAAUUGUUGAAAGGGAAGGGCUUGAGAUCAGACUUGGUAUUUUGCGAUCCUUUCCUUCUUGGUUGGGUUCCUCGCAGCUUACUGGGCCAGCAUCGGUUUGGAUGGUAGGAUAAUGACUAAGGAAUGUGGCUCUACUUCGGUGGAGUGUUAUAGCCUUGGUUGAUACUGCCUGUCUAGACCGAGGACUGCGUCUUUUGACUAGGAUGUUGGCAUAAUGAUCUUAAGCCACCCGUCUAAAACCCGGGGACCCAAAAAAACCAAAAAAUUUAAAGUAAAAUAA
rnacentral:rRNA from 1 species